rnacentral:rRNA from 1 species
UACGGAGGAGGCAAGCGUUAUCCGGGAUUAUUGGGCGUAAAGCGUCCGCAGGUGGCACUUCAAGUCUGUCGUCAAAGACUGGGGCUUAACCCUGGAAAGGCGGUGGAAACUGAAGCGCUAGAGUGCGGUAGGGGUAGAGGGAAUUCCCGGUGUAGCGGUGAAAUGCGUAGAUAUUGGAAAGACCACCGAUGGCGAAGGCACUCUACUGGGCCAUUACUGACACUGAGAGACGAAAGCUAGGGGAGCAAAUGGG